CAGCCGGGCAGGAAGUGAAACAGCGAGAGCAUCCAGUCAAUUUAACAAAAAGCCCCCAACCCCCAAAUAUCGUAUACGUCUCCACCAUAACACAACGGACAAUGACAGAUUCAUCUUGGAGGUGGAAAAACACAAUAGACAUCACAGAUUUUUUUUAAAAGGACAAGGCUAGAAAAGAGAAGGCAUGGAGUUUAACUGUUGAGUGCCUGGAGUGGAAGGUAGAUACUAGCUUAAUAAACACGCAAUUGUUCUGUAAAGUACUUUUAGAGACAAGUUAAUCUGUGAGUUGGGCAGCAAGGUGCUCCAAAAGGGUUAGAAA